AAAUGGUUCUUUGAUUGGCUGAGUCCCAAACAGGCUGAUGGUAGCAUGUGUCCUUCCAGGUGUAGUAAAUGCCUAAUGUCUAGCUGAUGCUCUGAGUGUGCCCAGGUGAAACAAAAUCACAGCCUGCAAAUACUCCCUGGGUCUGUCAGGACACAGUAUCUCUGGUCCAUGGGCAUAUUCUAAAACUUCAAACUGGAUAAACUCAGGAGGUGGGAUCAGUCCUUUCAAGGUAAGGAAGGGCUCUGCAUUUUUACCUCAUCUGGGUCACAACUUUCAAUGCACCGGUGGAUACAGCAUUUAAAUUUUCUUUGUUUCAAUUCAUUUAUGCAAAAUAUACUGUAGACUUAACUUCUGAGCCUUUUAUUCAGAAUUUCAUGUCUUCCAUAUUUUAUUACACAUUUUUCAUUUGUCACCAAAAUAGUUAUAUUUAACCAAAUAACUAUUGUUUUUCCCAGGCUAUAUACUUCUCAAAGGUAAAAGCAUUUACUCAUUUUUUAUACUGCCCAGAAUUCUGCCAGGGUAGCAGUAUUUAAAAAUCCAUGUAUAAUGACUUCACAAUCAUACUUCAAUUUAGUAAAAUUAUAGUGACUCUGAAUUCACCCCUGUCCUCACCUUGUAGUGCUGACAAUCUUAUCCCCUCAUUUAUGGGAAGGGAAUGGUCUCAGACUGGCCAAUCAUAAUUUCCUACCCCUAUGGCCACAGGGAUGGAAAUGUAAUCCAAACUAAACAUUGCCUAAGACUGGAGCUAUAGACCCAGUUCUGGCCCAUGCAACUUAAAGAAAAUCUGCUGCAUGCAGCUUUGGGGAAAAAAAUAUUUUUUGCUAGUAAAGAAGACCAUCAUAGUCUCUUCCUAUUUUUCCUCCUUUUGACUUGAGUGUAAAUAUUAUGGUUGGUGCAGAAGCAGUCAUCUUGGGAUCAUGAGGGAAAGAUCAAGAGAAUCACAGAGAUGAUAGUCCUGGUAUCUUCAAGCCACCCAAAGUAUAACAAACAAUUACCUGGCUCUAAACAAGUGUUGUCCAACUACAAUCCCUGUGCCAAAUCUGUUUUGUUUGAUUUAGGGGCACUGCCUAAACAGGCUAGCACUGUGGGCAAUAAAGACUGAGCCAG
rnacentral:lncRNA from 1 species